GGAAUAUUAGAAAUGGACGAAAGUCUGAUCUAGCAACACCGCGUGUGCGAAGAAGGCCUUCGGGUCGUAAAGCACUUUUUGGUAAGGAAUAGGAAGGAAUGUACUUCCAGAAUAAGUCUCGGCUAACUACGUGCCAGCAGCCGCGGUAACACGUAGGAGGCGAACGUUAUCCGGAUUUACUGGGCGUAAAGCGCGUGUAGGUGGUUCUGUAAGUAGGGCGUGAAAGCUCCCGGCUCAACUGGGAGAGGCCGUUCUAAACUACAGAACUAGAGGAUGGUAGAGGGAGGUGGAAUUCCAGGUGUAGCGGUGGAAUGCGCAGAUAUCUGGAGGAACACCAGUGGCGAAGGCGGCCUCCUGGACCAUUCCUGACACUCAGACGCGAAAGCUAGGGUAGCAAACGGGAUUAGAGACCCCGGUAGUCCUAGCCCUAAACGAUGUAGACUAGGCGUCGGUGGUUUAAUCACCAUCGGUGUCCAAGCUAACGCGAUAAGUCUACCGCCUGGGGACUACGGCCGCAAGGUUAAAACCUCAAAGGAAUUGACGGGUCCCCGCACAGCAGCGGAGCGUGUGGUUUAAUUCGUUGCUACACGAAGAACCCUUACCUGGGGUUUUGACAUAGCAGUGGUAGGGAAGCGAAAGCGGACCGACCCUUCGGGGGAGCUGUUACAGGUGUUGCAUGGCUGUCGUCAGCUCGUGUCGUGAGAUGUUCGGUUAAGUCCGCUAACGAGCGCAACCCGGCGUUUGUGUGUUAACAGUGUCACACAUACCGCGGUAUUAAGUCGGAGGAAGGUGCGGAUGACGUCAAGUCAGCAUGACCCUUUUANAU
rnacentral:rRNA from 1 species